CUGAUGAUGUUUGGUGUUUUAAGGAAAAGCGGAUUACCAGGAUUUAAUCCGGAACCACUACCGUGUUUGUUAUAAAGAAAACAUUGGAGUCGUGCCAACAUUAUCACCAUUUUUGUUUAAAAAAUUCUAAUGUUUCUGAAUACGUUCUGUUCACCGAAUAAAAUUGUUAGUUAUAUACACUUUAUUGUUAUUGUUUUGUCGGCAUUUUUGCAUGUUAUUGCAUUUGUAAUAUAUAUAUAUAUACAUAUAAAUAUUUUCUGUUUAUUAUGUUUGUGCACUGAUGUUUCAAAUAAAUUUGAUAAUGUGGUUUUUAACAUUCGAGAGUUAAUGAUUAUAUCGCUGUAUCUCCACAAGAUUUUGAUGUUUGAUGUGUAUCAGUUAAGAGAAUGGUUCCCCAAAAAAGUGGGAUAAGGUCACAUAAAACGUAGACGUAUUUCUCUGAAGAGUUAUCACGGAGAAAAAAAUGAAAAUUCAAGGUAAAAAAUAGAAAAUAAAAAUGGGAAUCGAUGGUUACUUAUUUUUAACUUCCUCACUCAACUGUUUUACAAAAUAGGACUGUUUUUUCAUUUAUAAAGGUCAGUUUAAAAAUUUAUAUCAUUAUCAUGCGGUAGAACCCAGUUUAUGUGCGUUUUCGAAGGGGGUUGAUAAAAAAUUAUGUACAAGUGAGAUUAACGUUAAAACGAAACUUUUUACUUGAACUUUAAAAAUGUAGAAAAAAUGCUUAAAAAAUUAAAAAUUUAAAAAAGUUAAACUGCAUACUGUGUCACAUACGCC
rnacentral:lncRNA from 1 species